GUUUCUGCUUUUCACCUGUGAGUCUGUGUUUUCUGGGAGUUCCUGAACGCAUCCUGUCUGGUUGCCUGGCGACGAAGCAAGGCAGGAGAAUCUGCAAUCACACUCACCUGUUUCUCAUCUGCAAUCUGCACACCUGGUCCUGAUCAUCACCUCUCCACCAUUUAAGUCGUGAACUGACAUCCAUUCCCUGCUGGAUCGUUAGCCUCACCAUUUUGUGACCUGGAAGACUCUCUCCAUCUCCGUCUGGCCGUCUGCUUCACCAUUAUUACUGGAUCUGCAUUAAUCCGUCGACUCAAUUCCACCCACUGCCUCACCAGCUGGACUCCCCUGCUUCCACGUACCAAAACCAAAUAAAUACUUACCUUUUUUUCAUUCUA